AAGGGGGGGGAUCUUCGGACCUCUCGCUAAUAGAUGAGCCUAGGCCGGAUUAGCUAGUUGGUAGGGUAAAAGGCCUACCAAGGCGACGAUCUGUAAGCUGGUCUGAGAGGAUGGCCAGCCACACUGGAACUGAGACCACGGUCCAGACUCCUACGGGAGGCAGCAGUGGGGGAUAUUGGACAAUGGGGGCAACCCUCGAUCCAGCCAUGCCGCGUGUGUGAAGAAGGCCUUCGGGUUGUAAAGCACUUUAAGCGAGGAGGAAGGUUUUAGUUUAAUACACUAAAGAAUUGACGUUACUCGCAGAAUAAGCACCGGCUAACUCUGUG
rnacentral:rRNA from 1 species